UGCAAGCCCUCGCUGAAGGAUGAGUUCGCGUACCAUUAGCUUGUUGGUAGGGUAAUGGCCUACCAAGGCGACGAUGGUUAGCUGGUCUGAGAGGAUGAUCAGCCACACUGGAACUGAGACACGGUCCAGACUCCUACGGGAGGCAGCAGUGAGGAAUCUUGCGCAAUGGGGGAAACCCUGACGCAGCAACGCCGCGUGAGUGAGGAAGGUCUUCGGAUCGUAAAGCUCUGUCAGUUGGAAAGAAAUGUCUGAGAGUCAAUCCCUUUCAGGCUUGACGGUACCAACAGAGGAAGCACCGGCUAACUCCGUGCCAGCAGCCGCGGUAAUACGGGGGGUGCAAGCGUUGUUCGGAAUUAUUGGGCGUAAAGAGCGUGUAGGCGGCCGGAUAUGUCAGAUGUGAAAGCCCCGGGCUUAACCCGGGAAGUGCAUUUGAAACUGUCCGGCUCGAGUAGGGGAGAGGGAAGUGGAAUUCCUGGUGUAGAGGUGAAAUUCGUAGAUAUCAGGAGGAACACCGGUGGCGAAGGCGACUUCCUGGCCCUAUACUGACGCUGAGACGCGAGAGCGUGGGUAGCAAACAGGAUUAGAUACCCUGGUAGUCCACGCCGUAAACGAUGUUCACUAGGUGUUGGGGGUAUUGACCCCCUCAGUGCCGGAGCUAACGC
rnacentral:rRNA from 1 species